rnacentral:sRNA from 2 species
AUGUACCCACGUACAUUCCGGUUCCUCCGCGCCGUCCGCACCCACCUGGCAACUGCUCGCUACGUUUUGUUAGCC